AUUGAACGCUGGCGGCAUGCCUUACACAUGCAAGUCGAACGGCAGCACGGGAGCAAUCCUGGUGGCGAGUGGCGAACGGGUGAGUAAUAUAUCGGAACGUGCCCAGUCGUGGGGGAUAACGCAGCGAAAGCUGUGCUAAUACCGCAUACGAUCUACGGAUGAAAGCGGGGGAUCGCAAGACCUCGCGCGAUUGGAGCGGCCGAUAUCAGAUUAGCUAGUUGGUGAGGUAAAGGCUCACCAAGGCGACGAUCUGUAGCUGGUCUGAGAGGACGACCAGCCACACUGGAACUGGGACACGGUCCAGACUCCUACGGGAGGCAGCAGUGGGGAAUUUUGGACAAUGGGCGAAAGCCUGAUCCAGCAAUGCCGCGUGCAGGAUGAAGGCCUUCGGGUUGUAAACUGCUUUUGUACGGAACGAAACGGUGAGCUCUAAUACAGUUUGCUAAUGACGGUGCCGUAAGAAUAAGCACCGGCUAACUACGUGCCAGCCGCCGCAGUAAUAC
rnacentral:rRNA from 1 species